rnacentral:rRNA from 1 species
AGGUAAGCUACUAAGAGCGAAUGGUGGAUGCCUUGACUGGUAAAGGCGAUGAAGGACGUACUAGACUGCGAUAAGCUACGGGGAGCUGUCAAGAAGCUUUGAUCCGUAGAUUUCCGAAUGGGGCAACCCAAUGUAUAGAGAUAUACAUUACCUAUAUAGGAGCGAACGAGGGGAAUUGAAACAUCUUAGUACCCUCAGGAAAAGAAAUCAAUAGAGAUUGCGUCAGUAGCGGCGAGCGAAAGCGCAAGAGGGCAAACCCAGUGCUUGCACUGGGGGUUGUAGGACUGCAAUAUGCAAGAGGUAAGUUUAGCAGAACAUUCUGGAAAGUAUAACCAUAGAGGGUGAUAGUCCCGUAUGCGAAAAACAAACCUUAGCUAGCAGUAUCCUGAGUAGGGCGGGACACGAGGAAUCCUGUCUGAAUCCGGGUCGACCACGAUCCAACCCUAAAUACUAAUACCAGAUCGAUAGUGCACAAGUACCGUGAGGGAAAGGUGAAAAGAACUGAGGUGAUCAGAGUGAAAUAGAACCUGAAACCAUUUGCUUACAAUCAUUCAGAGCCCUAUGUAGCAAUACAGGGUGAUGGACUGCCUUUUGCAUAAUGAGCCUGCGAGUUGUGGUGUCUGGCAAGGUUAAGCAAACGCGAAGCCGUAGCGAAAGCGAGUCUGAAUAGGGCGCUUAGUCAGAUGCUGCAGACCCGAAACGAAGUGAUCUAUCCAUGAGCAAGUUGAAGCUAGUGUAAGAACUAGUGGAGGACUGAACCCAUAGGCGUUGAAAAGCCCCGGGAUGACUUGUGGAUAGGGGUGAAAGGCCAAUCAAACUUCGUGAUAGCUGGUUCUCUCCGAAAUAUAUUUAGGUAUAGCGUUGUGUCGUAAUAUAAGGGGGUAGAGCACUGAAUGGGCUAGGGCAUACACCAAUGUACCAAACCCUAUCAAACUCCGAAUACCUUAUAUGUAAUCACAGCAGUCAGGCGGCGAGUGAUAAAAUCCGUCGUCAAGAGGGAAACAACCCAGACUACCAGCUAAGGUCCCUAAGUCUUACUUAAGUGGAAAACGAUGUGAAGUUACUUAAACAACCAGGAGGUUGGCUUAGAAGCAGCCAUCCUUUAAAGAAAGCGUAAUAGCUCACUGGUCUAGUGAUUUUGCGCGGAAAAUAUAACGGGGCUAAAGUAAGUACCGAAGCUGUAGACUUAGUUUACUAAGUGGUAGGAGAGCGUUCUAUUUGCGUCGAAGGUAUACCGGUAAGGAGUGCUGGAGCGAAUAGAAGUGAGCAUGCAGGCAUGAGUAGCGAUAAUUAAUGUGAGAAUCAUUAACGCCGUAAACCCAAGGUUUCCUACGCGAUGCUCGUCAUCGUAGGGUUAGUCGGGUCCUAAGUCGAGUCCGAAAGGGGUAGACGAUGGCAAAUUGGUUAAUAUUCCAAUACCAACAUUAGUGUGCGAUGGAAGGACGCUUAGGGCUAAGGGGGCUAGCGGAUGGAAGUGCU